GAUGAAGAACGUAGCGAAAUGCGAUACGUAAUGUGAAUUGCAAAUUCAGUGAAUCAUCGAGUCUUUGAACGCACAUUGCGCCCCCUGGUAUUCCGGGGGGCAUGCCUGUCCGAGCGUCAUUGCUGCCCUCAAGCACGGCUUGUGUGUUGGGCCCCGUCCUCCGAUCCCGGGGGACGGGCCCGAAAGGCAGCGGCGGCACCGCGUCCGGUCCUCGAGCGUAUGGGGCUUUGUCACCCGCUCUGUAGGCCCGGCCGGCGCUUGCCGAUCAACCCAAAUUUUUUAUCCAGGUUGACCUCGGAUCAGGUAGGGAUACCCGCUGAACUUAAGCAUAUCAAAAGCGGAGGA
rnacentral:misc_RNA from 1 species